CGCGGUUAUACCAAGUGAUUAAGUUAUAUUUUUAGGUAAAAAGACAGUUAGGUUUAAAAAUAAGUUUAGUCUAUUGACCACUUGUAAAAAAGUAAAAUUUGUAUACAAGUAGCUAAUCUAGAAGUGACUAUAUUAAAUACUGAAGCUGUGAUAGUCUUGAGGGAAACUGGGAUUAGAUACCCCAUUAUUCUUGACUGUAAAUACAAUUAAAUUUACCAGAGUACUAUGAAUAGUUAAAAAUUUAAAACUCAAAGGGCUUGGCGGUGUUUUAGACCUAUCAGGGGAACCUGUCUCGUAAUCGACAAUCCACGUUAUAUCUAACCUUACUUUGUAUUCAGUUUGUAUACCGUCGUCGUCAGGUAACUUUUAAAAAUAUGGAAGUUAGCGAUAGAAAUUGUGUAAAUUAAGACGUCAGAUCAAGGUGCAGCCUAUAGUGAGGAGAGGAUGGGUUACAAUUAUUAAAUUUAUAAUCACGGAAAUUUAAAUGAAAUCAUAUUUUGAAGGAGGACUUGAAAGUAAACUAGAAUAUAUAAAUAGUUUGAAUAAGGCUCUG
rnacentral:rRNA from 1 species